rnacentral:lncRNA from 1 species
GGAGGUACAAAUCAUAGCCACGCCACCAAGGAUCUCUACGAUUCGAUUGCUGCUGGAAACUAUCCCGAGUGGAAACUUUUUAUCCAAAUUAUGGACACUGAGGAUGUAGACAAAUUCGACUUUGAUCCUCUUGAUGUAACCAAGACCUGGCCUGAGGAUAUCUUGCCAUUGAUGCCAGUUGGACGAUUGGUACUUAACAGGAAUAUCGAUAACUUCUUUGCUGAGAACGAGCAGCUCGCGUUUAACCCUGGCCAUAUUGUC